rnacentral:misc_RNA from 1 species
GAUGAAGAACGCAGUGAAAUGCGAUAAGUAAUGCGAAUUGCAGAAUUUCCGUGAGUCAUCGAAUCUUUGAACGCACAUUGCGCCCAUUGGUAUUCCGGGGGGCAUGCCUGUUCGAGCGUCAUUACAACCCUCAAGCUCUGCUUGGUAUUGGGCCCCGCCAGUUCUGGCGGGCCCUAAAGUCAGUGGCGGUGCCUUCCGGCUCCGAGCGUAGUAAUUCUUCUCGCUCUGGAGACCCGGUUGUGUGCUUGCCAACAACCCCCAAUUUUUUAAGGUUGACCUCGGAUCAGGUAGGGAUACCCGCUGAACUUAAGCAUAUCAAUAAGCGGAGGA